rnacentral:rRNA from 1 species
GCUGGCGGCACGCCUAACACAUGCAAGUCGAACGAAGUAGCAAUACUUAGUGGCGAACGGGUGAGUAUAAUGUGGGUAUCUGCCUUUUGGUUUGGAAUAACACGGGGAAACUUGUGCUAAUACCGGAUAAGCCUUUACAGGGAAAGUUUUAACGCCAAAAGAUGAGCCCACACUUGAUUAGCUAGUUGGUAAGGUAAAAGCUUACCAAGGCUACGAUCAAUAGCUGAUCUGAGAGGAUGAUCAGCCACAUUGGGACUGAGACACGGCCCAAACUCCUACGGGAGGCAGCAGUGGGGAAUCUUGCACAAUGGGGGAAACCCUGAUGCAGCGAUGCCGCGUGAGUGAAGAAGGCCUUUGGGUUGUAAAGCUCUUUCGUCGGGGAAGAAAAUGACUGUACCCGAAUAAGAAGGUCCGGCUAACUUCGUGCCAGCAGCCGCGGUAAUACGAAGGGACCUAGCGUAGUUCGGAAUUACUGGGCUUAAAGAGCUCGUAGGUGGUUAGAAAAGUUGGUGGUGAAAUCCCAAGGCUUAACCUUGGAACUGCCAUCAAAACUUUUUAACUAGAGUAUGAUAGAGGUAAGUGGAAUUUCUAGUGUAGAGGUGAAAUUCGUAGAUAUUAGAAAGAACACCGAUUGCGAAGGCAACUUUCUGGAUCAUUACUGACACUGAGGAGCGAAAGCAUGGGUAGCGAAGAGGAUUAGAUACCCUCGUAGUCCAUGCCGUAAACGAUGUGUGCUAGACGUUGGAAAUUUAUUUUCAGUGUCGCAGCAAAAGCGUUAAGCACACCGCCUGGGGAG